CUUACCGGAGAAAUGGCAAUGGCUCAGGGCAGAAUCUUUCUCUUCCUGAUCUUCUUCUGUUCCUUUCUAUCUACUAAUAACAUUCUUCAUGCGUAUGCAUCCAACCAACCUCAACACAGCUCAACUGGUCUGUCAUCUUCUCCCUCAAAUCGGAUUUCUAUUCAUUGUCACCCUCGUCGGAUGGGCAUUACUAAGUGUAAUCACAACGGUUUGGUCUCCCUUAAUUCAGGUCCAUCCGGCACCCCCAUUGAAGGGAUCUGGGGAAGGAGUGGAAAUACACCAACACCAAGCGCUCCAUAGUACCGUCAAACUAUAGUCAAAUAGUGAAUAUGAAUAAGAGAAAUAUCAAGAGGCUAGGGAGCUUUUAUGUUAUACAGCUCUAUUUUACUACACUACGUACUUACAUGUACAGCAUGACAGUUCAACAUAAGUACUAUUCUAUCCUAUAAUAAAACUGUUAAAAAUAUUUCUGU